GGGGAUAUUUGGUUUAUACCAUGGUGAUAACCGAGAGAGGCAAUUGCUAAGUUGUGGUGCACUCAUACCUUUACUAGAUGCGAACAAUUCCGGAGAAGAAGAAGAAGUGGAAUCGGACGAGGAUUUUAUUUAUGUUGUUGGGAUUCUUAUAUUGAUGGAGUUGAAGAAGUCCAGGGACAAAUAAGCCAAGACUUGGAGGAACACGAUGGAUGAAGAAGGAGUUGGCGACGUCUAUGCGAGCUAGGAACGUCUUCCC